rnacentral:rRNA from 1 species
CCAGACUCCUACGGGAGGCAGCAGUGGGGAAUAUUGCACAAUGGGGGAAACCCUGAUGCAGCGACGCCGCGUGAGUGAAGAAGUAUUUCGGUAUGUAAAGCUCUAUCAGCAGGGAAGAAAAUGACGGUACCUGAUUAAGAAGCCCCGGCUAACUACGUGCCAGCAGCCGCGGUAAUACGUAGGGGGCAAGCGUUAUCCGGAUUUACUGGGUGUAAAGGGAGCGUAGACGGUGAUGCAAGUCAGAAGUGAAAGCCCGGGGCUCAACUCCGGGACUGCUUUUGAAACUGUGUGACUGGAGUGCAGGAGAGGUAAGCGGAAUUCCUGGUGUAGCGGUGAAAUGCGUAGAUAUCAGGAGGAACACCAGUGGCGAAGGCGGCCUGCUGGACGGUGACUGACGCUGAGGCUCGAAAGCGUGGGGAGCAAACAGGAUUAGAUACCCUUGUA